ensembl:lncRNA
CCAUGGAAUACGUGCCACAUCGAGAACUCACAUUACCGGAACAGAAGAGGGACACUGGCUCACUUCACGAAGGAUGGGCAAAUACUGGGCCAUCUUUUUGGAUAAUCCAAAUGUAUGGAUGCAAGUAUCAUCCUCCCUAAACCCAGCCACCUUGCUCCCUAAUAAGACAUCAGAAGACUUAGAACGUGACUGCUCACAAGUUACAGAGACAAUGUAUUCUAGACAACCUGAUUUGUUGGACUGUCCAUUGGAAGAACCAGACCUGAAACUCUUCACAGAUGGCAGCAGCUUCAUGGAUCAAGAGUGAUAAUGGACCAGCCUUUGUCUCCCAAAUAAUCCAACAAGUAUCCAAAAGCUUAGACAUCCGAUGAAUACGACACUCAGCCUGGAAACUUCAAUCAACUGGAAAGAUGGAGAAAAUGAAUCACAUCUUAAAGAAGACCCUUGCCAAAAUCUGUCAUGAAACACAACUAAUAACUUGGGAUAAGGCACUGCUCUUUGCCCAGCUACGGGUUAGAGCAGCUCCCUAAAGCGGACUUAAAUUGAAUCCUGUCAAAAUUCUAUGUGGGAGACACUUUCAGGCAUCUUCCCCUGGGACUGAAUCUCUGGACAUUUUAAGCAAUGCCAUGAUUGCUAAUUAUGUUAAAUCAUUAAACUCUGUAUUAACUUCUGUCCGUGAGCUUACUUCUCAUAGGUCUACAUAUCUGUCUGACAUCCCUCUACAUGCCUUCCAACCUGGUGACCAUGUUUUGCUGAAAACUUGGAGAGAUCAGGGACUCUAAAACCAGUUGUCACCCAAAUGGACAGGCCCUUUUGAGAUUCUUCUCACCACUCACUCAUCCGUAAAACUUGCAGGCGUAAAACCCUGGAUUUAUCACUCCCGGGUCAAGGCAGCCCCCAAAUCACAGGAAACUUUCCCACCAGUAUCGGGGGGAAAAUGCGUGGCGGAACCCCUUGGAGAGCUAAAAUAUGUCUUUCACAGUUGACUCUUUUCCAUGCUAUGGUCUCCCUACGACAUCCUGAUUCAGCAGGAAGUAACUAGAAAAAGUAGGACACCCUGUCUCCCCCUUGACCAUAAGAUUAUGGGUUACUACUAACAGGGGGGAAACUGUGAGUGAGCAUAAGUGAGGCCAUCUUGUUACACUAAAUGGCCGCCAGCCCCUCCUCUUUGUGAUUACGCGCUGCUCUGCACAUACUCUAAAAAAUUCACAUGCUCUCCUGAUUUAUGGCCUCCACUUACCUAUGUACUCCUUGAUACCCUGAUAAAUUAAAACUUUGUUCUAUGAGUUUCUCUCCAGGAACAGGCUGACCACAGGCGGGAAACACACCUACAAGGUGUCCAUCACAGAUGACAGAAGAAUGAAACGAUGUGAUGCCUGGGGCCUGUCAUGCCUGGAGACCAAUAUCCCUGGACCGGCUCCUCACUGCCCAUUUUCCCUAUAUAACUGCCUCAAGAUUCCAUAAUCCUUGAAGAUGAGUUUUUGAGACAUUAGUCACCCAUCUUCUGAUUAGCUGGCUAAUUUAGUUAAACUUCCUUUCUCCACCUUUAACUCGUUGUAAGUAAUUGGCUCACAUCACGGAGAGCAGAGCGAGCCCAUUGCUCGGUAUCACCUUCUGUUUAAAAUUCCUAAUAUCUGACAACCAUGGGCUGGCAUUCCUAAUGACAAAGGUGGCUGGAACUGAGUACGCCUCAGGUCUGCCAGCUGCAGGUGAGCGGGCCCUAUUAAUCCCCAUGGGCUCCCAGCCUCAGAGGGCAGGGUGUGUUACCACUUAUCACUGAGCUCAUGCCCUCAACCAAAGUUUAACUAUUCUAUGUACUAUGUAUAAGAGAGUACGGCAGCAGGUAAACUCACUUUAGAAAAACAAAUCCAUCAGAACUGGUUAACCUUUUUUAAGGUAAUUUGACCAUGGCUGUCAAUUUAAAACAUUUGACCUAGCGUAAAAAUGUAUUUGCACCAAACACAAAAUAUAUACACAUCCAAGGUUGUUCAUUGUAACAUUGUUUGAAAUAGCAAAACACUGGAAGCUGCCUAAAUGUUCAUCAGCAGGAGACUGGCUAAAUAAAUUAUGGACUAUCCACACAAUGGAGUACUGUACAGCUACUUUUAAAAGGGAG